rnacentral:lncRNA from 7 species
GAAUACCUAAAACCCACGUUAACCGCAUGGAGUGCAAAAUUUUGUCACCAGGAUUUGCAGUCAUAUAUGAUAGGUAUGUACAGUGAAGAGACACUAAAACGAUUCUCUAGGCACUAGAAUACAUGACGAAUUUGUAGAGCAAGAAGUGAAACGUCUAUUGCUAGAGAUGUUCCACCAAUUUUUUUUUACAAAUGUACUCUUUAAACACUUCAAAAGACUCUAUAGUAUUAAACAUCAAUGUGCAUGCAGUGUUCUUCAUUACUCGUACCGGGGCCUUAACGUUCACGUGAUGAUUUUAACGUCCACGACCGCAUUGCAGAAGGAUGAUGGCUGGCGGAGGAUCCUGCGGCUGCUGGGGUGCUCGUGCUUGAGUUGAGCCCGUCGUAAUGACCGCCGGACACAGCCGAGCAUUAUUGUCACGGACAACAAGGCUGCUGGCUAAUCAGGGCGCGGGCUUUUUGGCUUCCAUCCUCCUGUACGUACUACAAGAUGUCUCAACUUUUGGCGCCUGCUGUGAUCGAUUGAUGACGGGCCGGCAGGCAAGACGUGACUGACGUGCCGGCCUUGCGUUGCGUGGGUCUGUGCGUAGGUGUGACGUUCGUGUUGUGACUGUGUUCGCUGCUGACCGCCUGUCCUUUGUGACUGCUUCAAGCUAGUAGAUUCUAGGAUUUAGAGGUUCUUUAUUUAUGUGUGUGCGUUCUCGUUUGUCGCUCACCCUCACCGCCUGUAAAACCCCACCUAAAAUGGUCGUGCUAUCCGACAAAUAGGCUUUUCACAUC